UCCUCCUUGCUUCUCUUGCUUCCUCUCCUCCUCCUGAUCCUCCUUGCUUCUCCUACUUUCUCCUGUUCCUCCUGGUGCUCCCGAUCCCCCUUGCUUCUCCUGCUUCAUCUUCUCCUUCUGCUGCUCCUCCUGCUUCCUCCCCUCCUCCAGCUGCUCCCAAUCCUCCUUGCUUCUCCUGCUUCCUCUUCUCCUCCUGCUGCUGCUCCUGCUCCUCCUUGCUUCUUCCUCUUCCUCCUCCUGAUCCUCCUUGCUUCCUCUCGUCGUCGUCCUCCUCCUCCUGAUGUUCCCUGCUUCCUCUCCUCCUCCUGCUGCUCCUGCUCCUCCUUGCUUCUUCCUCUCCUCCUCCUGAUCCUCCUUGCCUCCUCUCCUCCUGCUGCUGCUGCUGCUCCUGCUUGCUUCUCCCUCUUUCCUCCUCCUGCUCCUCCUUGCUUCCUCUCCUCCUGCUGCUGCUGCUCCUGCUUGCUUCUCCCUCUUUCCUCCUCCUGCUCCUCCUUGCUUCCUCUCCUGCUGCUGCUGCUGCUCCUGCUUGCUUCUCCCUCUUUCCUCCUCCUGCUCCUCCUUGCUUCCUCUCCUCCUGCUGCUGCUGCUCCUGCUUGCUUCUCCCUCUUUCCUCCUCCUGCUCCUCCUUGCUUCCUCUCCUCCUGCUGCUGCUGCUGCUCCUGCUUGCUUCUCCCUCUUUCCUCCUCCUGCUCCUCCUUGCUUCCUCUCCUCCUGCUGCUGCUGCUGCUCCUGCUUGCUUCUCCCUCUUUCCUCCUCCUGCUCCUCCUUGCUUCCUCUCCUCCUGCUGCUGCUCCUGCUCCUCCUAGCUUCCCCCGCGUCCUCUCCUCUUCCUCCUGCUCCUCCUUGCUUCUCCUCCUCCUCGUGCUGCUCCUGCUCGCUUCUCCCUCUUUCCUCCUCCUGCCCCUCCUUGCUUCCUCUCCUCCUGCUGCUGCUCCUGAUCCUCCUAGCUUCUCCCUUUUCCUCUCCCCCUCUUCCUCCUCCUCGCUUCUCCUGCUUCCUCUCCUCCUGCUCCUCCUUGCUUCUCCUCCUCCUGCUCCCUCUUUCCUCCUCCUUGCUGCUCCUGCUUCCUCUCCUCCUCUCCCUCCUGCUCCUCCUUGCUGCUCCUGCUCGCUUCUCCCUCUUUCCUCCUCCUGCCCCUCCUUGCUUCCUCUCCUCCUGCUGCUGCUCCUGAUCCUCCUAGCUUCUCCCUUUUCCUCUCCCCCUCUUCCUCCUCCUCGCUUCUCCUGCUUCCUCUCCUCCUGCUCCUCCUUGCUUCUCCUCCUCCUGCUCCCUCUUUCCUCCUCCUUGCUGCUCCUGCUUCCUCUCCUCCUCUCCCUCCUGCUCCUCCUUGCUGCUCCUGCUCGCUUCUCCCUCUUUCCUCCUCCUGCCCCUCCUUGCUUCUCCUGCUGCUCCUGCUCCUCCUGGCUGCUCCUGCUUCCUCUCCUCCUCUUCCUCCUGCUCCUCCUGGCUGCUCCUGCUUCCUCUCCUCCUCCUCCUCGCCUCUGCUGCUGCUCCUGCUCCUCCUCCAGCUGCUCCUGCUGCUUUUCCUGCUCCUCCUCCUGCUGCUGCUCCUCCCGGCUCGGUCUGAGCUCCUCCACGCCAUCCGAAGCCCAAUCCCUGCUCCCUGCCGGGGCAGUCCGCCUCCUCCUCCUUCCUGCUCCUUCCUCCUCCUCCUCCUCCCCGCCCCCUUCCUCCAGCCCCGUCUCGGCUGGCUUCUUCCCCGACUUUCCCGGGAGCUGGGUGCCCAUCAAUGGUUCUUCCUCGAGAUGCACCCUCAGCUCCGGGCCGGAGGUGGGUAGCAUCCUCGUCCUCCGGGGCUGCUCUGCUCGGGAGCUGCUCCUCCUGCUCCUGCUCCUGCUCCGGCCAAACCUCUUGAGCCCGAAGCGCAUCAAACUCCCCGCGAUGAGGCUGCAGCUGCUGCUGCUGCAGCUGCUGCAGCUGCUGCAGGAGUGA
rnacentral:lncRNA from 1 species